rnacentral:snRNA from 1 species
AUUUUCGCGUUCAGAAGGAUUCGAUGCAUCACGAACACGAGGCAGGCGAGGUGAAGGAUGGUGACAAGGCCAACGCUAUGCUUGGUAUUGGGGAGCGAGCGAAAGACGC